UCAGGGCUGUAACUACAUUGAGGCAAAUGAGGCAAAUGCCUCAUGUUUUAAAUUUCCAAAAAAAUAGAAAAAAAAAAUUAAAACAAAAGAUUGUCUUCAUAUUAUAGUCUUCAUAUCAAAUUGUUUUCACUGAAAGUGUCUUGCAAGAAGCAAGUUCUCUUCACUCUCUGAUGUCGCCCCUGCAUAUUUUUCGUAAUCCAUGUUUCUAUUUUACUUUUGGUUUUCAGAGUUGAUGGUCUAUUGUUUGUAUUUCUGUGUCCCGGGUUUGUCUUUUCUUUAUUUAUUGUCCUACUUAAUGACUAGUCUGAGUGUUGAUUUUCAAUUGUAAACGUGUCACACUGUGUAAUGUUGCAUGUCCACCUAUGUCCAGGCAUUUUGCGAGAAAAUGUUUUAAGAAUAUACGAUGCUACUGGACACAGAAAAAAGUGGUCGUUUCUGCAUGGAGAAUUGAACUUGAUAUCAAAGAAUACGAAACUGCCUUUCUUGUAUAUAAAACCAUACCCAAUUUGUCUUAGUAUGGAUUGCAAAAUUAGGUAUUUUCUGUAGGUGAGAUAUGCACAGAAGUGAAAUAUCUAUACUAUUAAACGAGAAGACCUCAUUUUUGGUGUCGCUUCUCUUCUUUCCACAAUAAAUUAAUCAACACGCCUCUGUGUCCUAUAGGUACAGUGCAUAGUCGCAUUUGUCAUCCAUUCAUAUGAUUAUUCAGAUUGAGUUAUUUUAGGAGAAAAAC
rnacentral:lncRNA from 1 species